rnacentral:piRNA from 1 species
UCCCAGCAUUUGGUGCUGUCAGUGUUGCCUU